CGUAGCUAACCUACCCUCGGGUCGCGGAUACCCCCGGGAAACUGGGGCUAAUCCACGAUAGGUGUGGAGGCCUGGAAUGGUUCCACGCCCAAAGGCACGGCGAUCAUGUUUGUCGUGUGCCCGAGGAUGGGGCUGCGGCUGAUCAGGCAGUUGGCGAGGUAACGGCUCACCAAACCUUUGACCAGUACGGGCCAUGAAAGUGGUAGCCCGGAGAUGGGCACUGAGACAGGGGCCCAGGCCCUACGGGGCGCAGCAGGCGCGAAAACUCCACAAUGUACGGAAGUACGAUGGGGUUAUCUCGAGUGCAGUCCGAUAAGGGCUGCUUUUCCAUAGAGUAAUAUCCUGUGGGAAUAAGAGGGGGGCAAGACUGGUGUCAGCCGCCGCGGUAACACCAGCCCCUCGAGUGGUGGGGACUAUUAUUUGGCCUAAAGCGUCCGUAGCUGGCUGUAUCCGUCCCCCGUUAAAUCCAGCGUCCUAAGCGUUGGACUGCGGGUGAUACCAUACAGCUAGAGGGUGGGAUAGGUGAGCGGUAUUUCUGGGGUAGGGGCGAAAUCCUUUGAUCCCAGGAGGACCACCAGUGGCGAAGGCUGCUCACUAGAACACGCCUGACGGUCAGGGACGAAAGCUGGGGCAGCGAACCGGAUUAGAUACCCGGGUAGUCCCAGCUGU
rnacentral:rRNA from 1 species